GGCGCAUCUUUACUUGCCUUAAACACACCGCUCGUCACGCGAGAUA
rnacentral:rRNA from 9 species